AUACUUAACUGGCAAGGGAAAAACCAUGACCACUAAGGCAGCUUUCCUAGUCGCUAGGGAUAACCAUUUUUCUGGCACGGGGUAGUACCUGCGGAAGUAACGUAUAGUUAACCUCUGACUUUCACUUCAAGUAGGAAGAUCUUAGCUUUAUGCCCACUUUAUGGAAAUGGGAGACUCCUCCCUAGCUUACUCCUG
rnacentral:snRNA from 14 species